AUAUUGACUUUGGCUUGAGCUGGCCUACUUGGGCAGAACAGUGUGGACAAAAGUAUUGGGACAACAUUUGCUCCUAAAGCAGCUUUGUCCUUGUCAUAAAAAAUCUUUGGUCAUCAGCUGGACACUCAUGGUGGGCGACAAUACUAAUUAGUAUUGAUCCGAUAUUGAGUAAAGGCAUCAACGAUACCAGUAUGACAUUUUAGGCGCUUCAUUUUUAUUACAAUCAGUACAAUAUUAUCCCUCUUAUGCCAGUGGUUCCCAAAUCUUGAUUUUUAAAUAUUGACAGAAGGGGAUUGGCUCCAGCAUGCCCGCAGCUUUUGGUGAUAAGCGGCAUAGAAAAUGGAUGGAUGAAGGCUGAUUUAUUCUUUUAUCAAAAUGAUGAAUUGACAGUAUAAGUAACAACGUAAAGCAAUUUCCAAGUUAAGUUUACUCACACCCGCUUUUUGGGGCUUAUUCUAAUUAAUUCUAUUCUAAAUUGUUCCCAAAGCCUGAGUAGUUUUCCCUGGCAGUAUCGCCGCUUUUUUUUUUUUGCGGUUCAAUGCAGCCCCUUAAAAAAAAACUGCAUAAGUCGGCAAAAAAUACUUAUAUAUGGACAAAUUAGCAUAAAAUGUUUAAAGUAAAAUACAAAUUCAUGGCUGGAUCGUUGUAGUUGGAUUGUAGUAUUAUACAUUUGCCACUAGGUGUCAGUGUUUGGAGAGACAGUCACGGCUCUUCCCCACAAUUAACUGCCAGAAAGGAUUACUUUAUAGCUAUAUACAUAUGGCAACUCCACAAACAUGCAUAAUUAUUGGAUACGGCCAUAAAAUGUUUCUCUCAUGCAUCAUCCGAUGAACAGAAAUGGACCAAACGAGAUGCAGUUUGAUGUAUAACUGAUAUGAACUAAUUUUGUAAGAGUUGUCCCAAGACUUUUGUCCACAGUGUAUAUCCCACAUGCUGCUGUGGAGAAGUCAUUCCAAGCCAACACUCCGCUACAUGGUUUGGAUUCCACCCACACAAGCGCCUCAUCUGCUGGGAACAUCAUACUUGUACUUCGACUUGCAAGCGGUACCACUUAUUGUCCUUCACCUCCAAAUCCUUUGGUGUGUUUUUUCUUUUCUUUUUUCAAUGACGUGAGUGGAUGAAUGAAAUGGACGGGUACCAGCAGCAAACAGCUUUGCACCCAGAAAGGAUAAAAGGGGAAAGUGGAGCUUGAAAGGAGUCUUUAAGAUAAUAUCUAAAGUGGUAUCGCUCACUACGUGUCCCAAUGAAGGGAAAGUGUUCAAUAAGUAACAGGGUGCGUUUGCCUGUGCUAAUGGCUUUAGCAGUGGCAUCUGGGAAAUGUCCACUUGUUCUCAGCCUCUGAUCUUCCAACACAGGGAUUAUUAAAAUGACACGAAUCACCGUUGGAUUGUUUUUAGGGGUGCAUGGUAAUUAUGGGGCCGAUAUGUGGAGUAGGAAAUCAUACCGAUAAAUCUGAUAUUGAAAAUAUACCCAAAAUAUUGGUGGAGUAAGAAAUCAUACCGAUAAAUCUGAUAUUAAAAAUAUACCCAAAGUAUUGGUAGAGUAAGAAAUCAUACCGAUAAAUCUGAUAUUAAAAUAUACCCAAAGUAUUGUGUGGGUGAGCAAAUCAAGCGCUCAUUUUUUUCCUCCUGCCUGUGACAUUAAUGGUCUAGCAUAACUUCCCCUGAGCUAAUGUGUAAACAUUCACUUUAUGAUAAUUGGGGGUGGGGGAGUGGAGGAACCCAGCUGCUCGGAGUGUGUGCCUGAGUACAGUUUACCCUCGCUCUGCGCUAUACGUUGGUUCUCCUGAUGGCAGCCAUGUUCUAGUAGUCGGCCAAAUCAACAGGUACACUCGGUCAAAUCCUAAUUUGUUCCAGGCCUUCCCUCCGGGUGUGCAUUAACCACACUUGAAUCUAAAUUUAAAGUAGACAUAAUAUCGGUUAUGUGUAUCAUAUCGGUCUUGAGAAAGGACGUUUUUGCUACGGGUUUAUCGUGCAUCUCUAAUUGUAUUUUGACUCGCAUGAGGAUCUCUUAUGUGCCAUUCUUUAUUGAUCUGUCAUCUUAGAUUUAGCAAAAAGCAAAGGAGCGUCCAGGUUUUAGCAACAUGUUUUUUUCCUCAAAGAUGUAAACUUUGUGUACAUUUUGUGUAUUUUAGUGAGUUGUCAAGUUGAAUGUAUGCAUAGUCACUACAAACUGUCCUAAUGUAUUAAUGUACCCUUUUUUUUUUUACAGUCCUCCAGACGUGAGGCUUGGUUGAUGCAAUAAAGUAUGAAAAGGGAGACCUGCAGUUGUUUGUGAUGUGAGCGUCUCCCCCGAGGACCAUAACACUGCUGUGCCGUCACGGUUGCCGUGUUGGAAAUGUCGCUGUUAGGUGAGGGCUUCUUCACAUUCCGCUGCCUUGGAAAUACAAGAGGUGUGUUUGAAGAGUGUCCGAGGAAGCAUCGCACCCCAGACGUGUGAUCCAACUAAAUCAUCUUCUUUUGGCAGACUUCUCAGGGAAACACAACCACAGCCAUAAGUCAUGCUACCAACGCUUUAACUGGGAUGCGCAUAAUUCCUGGGCGAUUAUGAAAGGCUUAGGGGUUGGCAGCGUGAGCGAGGAGGCUUCCCAUGUAGCGCGUUCCUCAUCUCCUGCCACAGCACAGGCCGCCGUCUGGAAAUAUGUCUCAGUCAAACAUCAACACAGACCUUCAUGUGGUCCCGACUGUGCGCUGAGCUGUAAGCGCUGCCAUUUCCUCCUGCCUACAUGGAGAAACCAGCCAGUCAGGGGGGCCCACAGAUGACACUUGCUCUAUUUUCAGACUUUUUUUAUUUUAUUUAAUUUUUUGGGGCGAAGCUUAGAAAUACUUCAAAAAGUAUUGCUCCUAUAAUAAGGCAGUUUAUUCUAACCAAAGUGCUUUUAUAAAGUUGCAAAGCUGCUGAAUCAGAGUUGGAAAACACCCUUCAACAAAGGAAACCUUCCCGCCACAAUCCUCGAGACAAACACAUUUCUCUGCGUUGAAAGAUUCCCUGAUGGAACACUCCUGCAGAUGCCGAAUAGACUGGUGGAGGAGGAGGCAGGGCAUUGAUCUUUGCAUCUGGUCUCCAGAGUAGCUGCAAGGCACUUGAGGACACGGGUGCUCCUCUGCAUCAUUUGGUGUCCCAGGUGUGCCCCGCACUCCAUCAGCAGCCAAACAAUGCAUGUAAUGGCUGGCGACCAGUCCAGGGUUUAGGUCAGCUGGGAUAGGCUCCAGCAUACCCCAGCGACCCUAGUGAGGAGAGGCGGUAUAGAAUUAUGGUCCAGCUUGAAACUUGCCGUGUUCCACCAAGAUGCAAGCAGGCGGUGUUUCCAUGUGUCAACUCUUGACUAGCUGUUUAGCUUCCUGUUUAGCUUCAGAUGGUCGGUAUACACGUUUGAAUAAUUUGGGUUUAGAAAGGUGGUCUAGUAUGACAGUGGAAUCGGGUGAAGUUCAGUGCAGGACUGAUGGAAGGAUGGAAUGUUUCCUGUCCCUGAAGAAUGCAGCCAAGCUCUUAGUGUCAUAAACAAAAACGUCAACCAUGAAGAGGCUUGUCCCCGCUUUGACGUGAGUAUCUUUGACGUGUGCGGUUUGCUUUGCUGAAGAGAACCGUCAGGGCUUCCAUGUAUUCAGAUGUUACUGCAUCAGCCGUCGCUUGGUCGGGUGUCUGGAUCCCAGACGUCACUCACUUUGUCAUGCUCCUCAUGGCUGGAUCGAGCGUCGGCCAUGCUGGCUUUUAAAGCACGAAGGGAUGAUUGGAAAGAUCAGUCUUGCCUUAAUACUUUUACCAGCUUUUUUACAGCCUGGAAAUGGGAACGCGGUGGCCUUGCGUUGGAGAUGACCUGUCAUGAUUUGGGCUGAGGACUCCUGCCACUCGAAGGUCUGCUGAUUGGAUCAGUGUUUAUAUUCUGGGAUGAGUGCCCUCUUUUUCCUUCCUGUGAAAAGCUGGCUCUCGUGUCUGAGGUUACCCUUCAGAGAAGCCGAGGACUGCAAGCUAACGACCAGCAUGUGACCGCUGUCGCUACAGGUGGAAACGCUUUCAUUAUGCAGACGCGUGUGUUCUCUCAGUGGACUGAUGUUUUGUGCUGUGUGGGCUUGGGAUGAGUAACCUUUCACUCAUGUUCACAUCACGGUGCCAAGUCAAAUUUCAGGUCUUCAUUUUAAUACACUGUUCUGUUGUUUUAGUAUCAUAUUCUGAUCACGUUUUGCUUCAAAAUGUCAGUCCAUGUUGGAAUUCCUCCUUGGCCCUCAAACCGCAGCUACCCAGCAGGACCCGGCAGGACUCGUGCAGUGGCACCACCACGGUUACCUGUAGGUAAGCCGCCAUCACCUCGCUGUAAUUUUAAUAAUAAUUUUGUCCUCAACUGUAUGAACAUAUCUCCACUACCGAUGUUCAAACGCGGACCUACAUUACCAAUCCAAUACACGGUAAGACUUCAGGGGUCUCCAACCAGUAGCUCCUAACCAAUUUAAGUGGCUUUAUUCGUGUAGUACCAAUUCCUAUAGCUACGGAAUUAGCCCGCGUCCAGCACAACUAGGUUUUGGGAACGCUUAAAGGCUAUGGGUUGAAUUAAUUAAAACGGACACUUUUGGAAAUCCAGCCUGGAAUAGGUGCGUAUUCUCGAAGAUCUGGGAAGCUUUUUGGCAUGGACUGUAGCUGCUCUAUAGGUGUCCACAACUCAAUACAAAGGGCUCAAAAAUUGGCGUGUAAGGUCCCCUUUAGUAGGCCGUAGGCAACCACGAAACGGCAUGAUUCGAGUUGAUAUAUAUUUUAGAAAAAGGUGGAGUGAAGCGCAAAGUGGCGAGUGGAUUCCUGUAUUCAUCUGUUGUGUGCAGUGACACACUAAGUUAGUUUUGUACAAUUGAUUCUCAAUUGUGUUGAAAGAGUAAAAAAAAUAAACAAACGUAGAUGUUUCAUCAAGGAUCCUGCCAAUAUGUCCAUCCUUGGAGAUGGCAGAGCUCCAUGUCUGCCAAUCAAACCGCUUUAACUUAAUAAGAGCAGGAAUCCUCCACCCAGUCAACCCUUAGCCUUGUAAGGUCUGCUCAAGGCUGUAAUCGAGUUUUGUUGUAUUUUGAGAUGCUCAAUCUAAUGGAAAGCGAAAUGGCUGUUUUGUAACCCUUGUUGACUUUUUGAAACGGUUCCCUAAAAGAGGAGCUGCAAAAGACGGGAAAGAAAACUCCCCUCACACCAGGAGAUGCUUUCAUGCUGGCCUCGGGUUACUUUGCCAAUAAACGUCUGAGCUGAAAACUGCAACAGACGGCUCGUGUUUUUGCGCUUUUUUUUUUUGGUAGCAAAGGGUAAGGAUGAGUAGGGUCGUGUACCGUAGCCCCCCCUGACACCCCCGUGCCAUCUGGCAACACGCAAAUUCCCCCACAAUGCAGUCACUCUGCGUGUCACGGUGCAACAUGGAAAUAGCAAAGCGCCUGUAGUCUGGCCUUCAGCUGCUACAAUAAACUAAUCACUUAGUAUCAACAUGGCCUGGGUGUUGGCUUUCCACGCGCCUCCAACAUUGUCACUGACUUUACACAUGCGCUCCGACAUCACAAAAAAUCCACCUUAAUAAAGCACCUCCUGGGUCAAAUGAUUGGCAUGUAUAGAAACAAAUUCAUUAUUUAGUGUAAAUAAACCUACCCGCUGUCAUAAUUGCAGAGCUUAUUUUUCCAAGCCAGGCUUUAGAGGUCGUACUGGAGAAAUUUGCUGCAAACCGCUAAAAGACAAAGCCACUUUGAAGGUCUGCAAGGCAGGAGAAGAUCGCAUGGAGCUUCAUAAAGGCUACUCCGGAAACUCAGGAUAUCAUCCACAUAUCUUCACACAUUGAAGCGUGAAACGCCUCUAACAUGAUGCAUACCCACCACCACCAUUACAUCCGAAUGAGCAUCGUUGACAGGCAGAGGGCCCCUCCAUUGUCUCCCAAGGAUCAUUAGACACCACAAGAGCCAACCGUACCUGUCCGGACCUGCCUCACCCUUCACAGGUUGGCUACACACUCGUCUCUGUACAGUCCAUCACCUUCUCUUUAGUGCGGUCCACGUGCUACGCUGGGGGUAUCUGGUGAGUAUCAUACAGCAACUCUGUAAACACACGCUUUACCUGUGGCCACGAUGCAUCACAUGAUCACGUGUAAGUAUCUUGUGUGCAUGAUCCCAGAUGUUGGUCUAAACGAACCCUCACUCCUUCAACCAUCCUUGUCCAUAAUGUGUACAUGUGUCCUCAGGAGGGCUCGUUCUCUUUGAGGUGGGGCGUCGUCACCUGAAGAAUGAUCCCGUGUGGUGAGAGGUGUUUCCUGUUCCUGUUUCAAAUUCUCUAGCUGUCACAUGUCCAGAAGGAAACCCCUGGUGUGUCUCGUAAAUCAGGUUGCUUUCAUCCCUAGCCUCUAACAUGAUGCAUACCCACCACCACCAUUACAUCCGAAUGAGCAUCGUUGACAGGCAGAGGGCCCCUCCAUUGUCUCCCAAGGAUCAUUAGACACCACAAGAGCCAACCGUACCUGUCCGGACCUGCCUCACCCUUCACAGGUUGGCUACACACUCGUCUCGGUACAGUCCAUCACCUUCUCUUUAGUGCGGUUCAAGUGCUACGCUGGGGGUAUCUUGUGAGUAUCAUACAGCAACUCUGUAAACACACGCUUUACCUGCGGCCACGAUGCAUCACAUGAUCACGUGUAAGUAUCUUGUGUGCAUGAUCCCAGGUGUUGGUCUAAACGAACCCUCACUCCUUCCAACCAUCCUUGUCCAUAAUGUGUACAUUUGUCCUCAGGAGGGCUCGUUCUCUUUGAGGUGGAGCGUCCGUCACCUGAAGAAUGAUCCUGUGUGGUGAGAGGUGUUUCCUGUUCCUGUUUCAAAUUCUCUAGCUGUGGUGGCCAUAAUGAUCCGUGAUGACCGUCAUAUGUUGACAAGUUAUUUUUACCACGAAAAGCGAAUAUGUUUAGAACUCCAAACAAGCUGCUCUGCUGUCACUUGACAUGUUUUUGUUUUGGCAUUUGGAGGGAGGAGCCGGCAGCUCCACUUUGUGCUCCGUGAUAGAACGUGAUCUGUUCAUGCUUUGCAGAGUCUGCAGAGGUCGGUAGUUGCUGUGUUGAACAAGUAUCUAAAGUACUGAUUGGUCGUAAAUACAGCAGAAGCACCAUGAAUUCAUGGCGUGGGAAACCAUGAGGUCUGCAUGCAUGCGUGGAUGCGUGCACGGUGCGAGUGUACUGUGUAAAAUGAUUAGUGUGUGUGUGUGUCAUAGACAUAAGUUCAAUCUCUCCACCUCAGGUACACAGCGCACACACACAUUUUACACACGUAUGCUGGCAUGUGCACAUGCACUCACACGGAACAUGCAUGGACCUCAUAGUUGCCCAUACUUUGAUUUAUUCACGAUGGUCUACUAUAUUUAGCGAGCAAUCGGAACUAUAGUAUACUUGUUCAACUAAGCCACUACAGACGUCUGCAGACUCUGCAAAGCGUGCACAGAUCACCUUCUACUACAGAACACCAAGUGGCACCGCAAGCUCCUCUCUCGUUCCUCAUCAUCCCUACGACAGAAAAACCAGUAAACACAUUUGCUUAGCUUUCCAUGGUAAAAAUAACCUUUGCCAAUGUAUCGUGAUCAUCACGGGCCAUUACGCCCACCACAGCCACACAAUUUGAGAGGAAACUACAAAGUGGAAAUGGUCCAAUCUGUUCCACACAGUAAAUGACAAAUUAGUUGAUUUUGGUUUCAACAAAAUGAAACCCUGAAAUUAGAAAAUGUAUUUGGAAUUCUGUGUAAUUAAUGGGGUGAAAAAACUUUGUUGUUGAGGGACCCAAAAGGGUGGGAAAUUUGGAGUCUGACCAGCAUCAAAAUAACAUUUUACAAGCAAUUUUGUGUAGUUGAGCCUUAUCGUUGACAUUUAUGACACGGAAAAUAAGUUUGUAUAGUCCAAUGAUGUUCAUGGAUUGGAUACAAUUUCUUUUUAACAGACCAAGAGUGCUUUUCCAUACCUGACUGUUGCUGCUCGCUCCUGUGACGCGUCAUGUCAGCUGAUUGAUGCGGAUGCAGAGUUACGCCGCCAGGACACAUCCCGGGAGUGGGUACAAAGGCCCCCCUGGUCCAGGUUUAUGGUCCUCAAUUGCCUCUUUGAUCCAUGUUAUCCCAAUGUUAUCUCCAUUCCAGUCCAUAAUGUGGUUUUCUCUUUUGCAGUGAACGAAAAUGGCGGAUUUGACUUGUUCCUGUUUUGUUGCUUGUGUGCACACUUUUUUCCUGUUUCCUCACUCUGUCCUGUUCCUUUUAUCUUGAAAUUGCCUCCCUCUGAAUUGUUUGAUGCACCUCAUGUAUGGUAGGGUAACUGGUUGCCAUGUUUUUUUUCCUAAUUGUAUUUCCUUGUCUCUGACAGACUGUUGUCAAGUUUUCCCCGUGGUGUCCUGUCCAGCCUUGUUGGCCUGCAGCCGUGCUUCGUCUGCCAGUGUUCUCGCUAUGGGGGUGGGUAAGUAUUAGCUACACUAAAGAUACUGCUGUCAUCCUCCUUGAGCUCUAUAUUCAUGUCCAGAAGGUUUAUUGCAUUGUUGGCUUCUUCAUGUGUAAAUUGGAUGUUUUUGUGCUGUCAAAAUGUGUCCCCUUUUUAUUUUUUUCCAGGAUAUCAUCCACAUAUCUUCACACAGUGAAGCGUGAAACGUGUGUAUAUAUUUAAAUGUUAACCCUCUUAAUGCCUAUUGUACUUGAUGUCGCUGUUUUUGUAUGCAAAUGUUCAAUUUUGUAAAUGUUAGGGUCUAGGGCUCUGUCAAAGAUGUGGCUUAAUUAUAUACUGUAAGAUUAGUAAUAAAAUUCAGGUCUUCCAUUAUAAUCAGCUUUAUUGUCCCAUUGUAAGUUGACGACAAACCUGCAUAUUUUUUUAAAUUUCAAGGUUUGAUUUUGUCAAGUUAAAUUUGUCAUUGACUGUUUGGAAUAAUUUGGACCAUUUUCACAUUGAAAGUGAUAAAUGUUUCCUUCCAUUCGUGGCUGUGGAGAGUUCUGGUGGGGCGUGGGGCUUCAGGACAUAAUGGUCCGUGACGACCAUGGAACGUUGCGCAAAAAGUUAUUUUCACUGAAACGCAAAUGGGUUUACAACUCCAAACAAGCUGCUCUGCUGUCACUACUAGUUUUUCUUGUAGUUUGGAGGGAGGAGCUUGCAGCGCCACGUCAUGCUCGAUGACCGUGUGAUUUGUGCUAGCUUUGCAGAAGUCAAUGGUGACAUAGAAUCUUAGUUAGUUAGUGUCUACAGUUCUGAUUGCUGGCUAAAUAUAGUAGAUCAUCGUGAAAUGUAUGGGAAACAAUGAGCUGUGUGCACGCAUGGCUGUGUGCAUGUGCACACGCCAGCACAUGUGUCCAUGUGUGUUCUGUGUACCUGAGGUGGAGACCAAACUUUAGUAUUUAGCAUACUUUUACACACAGUGCACUUAUGCAGGCACGUGCACACGCACCCAGCCAUGUGUGCACAAACACUCAGACUUCAUUGUUUUCCCAUACGUUCACUUAUUCCGGUCUACUGUAUGUAUUGAGCAAUCAGAAGUAUACUUGUUCAACAAAGCAACUCCUGACUUCAGCAGAAUCUGUAAAGGAUGCACAAGUCACUCAGUCACUGAGCACGAAGUGGAGCUGCAAGCUCUUCCCUCGCUUCUCCCAACUACAGCAAACACUAGUGAGAGCAGAGGAGCUUGUUUGGCGCUCUAAACAUACCCGCUUUGUUUUUCAUACUGAAAAUAACUUUUUGCAAACGUUUAAUGGCCAUCAUGGUCGUCACGGACCAUUAUGUCCUUGAGCCCCACCCCCACCAGAACCCACCACAAUCCGUGAGGAAACACUUCUCACCUACAAUGUGACUAGGUCCACUCUGUUCCAAACAGGACUAUUUUUCCCACAAAAGGAAAGCCAACAUUGGAAAAUGCUGUUUAAUUACAAUGGGUGAAAGAUGUUUAUAAUGGACUAGGAAGGCUGGCAAAUUUGGAAUCCGACCCUAAAGCAUCAAAAUCUUGUGUAGGUGAGCCUUAUCUUUAAGAUGGAGCCCCAGCCCCCCUAACAUGUGUUAAAUGGAAAAUAACUUGUGUAUGUAUUUUGUAAGUAAAAAGUGUGUAUUUAACAGCUAACGGUAGUGGUGUCAAAUACGAUUGUUGGGACAAUGGAGCCUGGAACUGCAAAUUUGGCUGUAUGCAAUAUACAAUCACAAUAAAGGUGAUCUGCCAACGAUGGUCUUUGGGUGGCAUACCUUCAUUAGCAGCCCAUUGGGAUGUCAAGGUCAUGGACCCAUCGGAAACCAAGGUGGGAUGCAUUAUUUGUGAGAGGCUAAAUCGGUCUUUUUUUUUAGAAAGGAUGAAAGUAUGCUAGCAUGGGUAAAGCAUGGUAAAGGUAAAUAGACUUUUUUUUUUGCCUUCAACAGUGCUCUUUGAGGUGCAGGUAGACCGCCGAGGCUUGACCUGAAUGUCGGGGUGGUGCUGUCUCCUCUCUUUGGGGUGUCCCAACCUCUGUCUCAAAGUGGUAGCAUGUUUGUUUACGGUUUUGUUGAAAAUCCUGAGUUUGUCAGAUACGCCUGAAACAUACGGGAGGACUUGCCUGCUACACUCUUCUUCUUCUUCCUCAUCCACCUUCCUUUGGUUCUUUGUAGAACGAGAUGCACUUUUCACAAACUAACAUCUGUGGUAACCACGGGAUUUGAGGGCAUCCCUCAGGCUUAUCUGCAAACGACAUGGUACUCCUCAAAGCUGCUAACACUAGGAGACAGAGGUUGGGGCACCUGAGAGAGGACACGGCAAACACCAUGUUUUCAGGUCAAGACUCAAAGAGCACUCUUGAGGACUAAUGUAUGUAUUCAGGACAGGAUGGUUUGAAAGUGGGAAAGCAUCUAGGCUUUGGUUUGAAGGCCUCUGACUUAGCCUCACAAAUAAUGCAUAACCACCUUUGGUUUCAGAUGGGUCCAUGACAUCGCAUCUGAAUGGGAGGCUAACGGCGGUCAUAGCAACCAAACCACCAUCUUUGGCGAGCAGAGGCUCCUCGCCGUUGUAUCACAGCAAUCGUCCUUUGACACCACUGAGAAGCCAACCGUUCCUGUCUGGACCUGACCUCCUCGAAGUUGGCUUGACUGGCUUUUGCUCAAUCACGUCUGCCUGGUGUCCUACCUAAGCUUUGAGCAUGAAGCGAUGAAGCCUGCUUGGAGGAGGAGCGGCCCUCAUGAGGAAAAAGUGGUAGAAAAUGAAUGUUUAGUAUUUUUUGUAAGUAGUAAAUCCAAAUAGCAGUAUUGAUUGCAGCAUCACUAAAAUAAAGUCACAGUUUAGCUCCUAAUAAAAAUAGUAUAUAGCUAAAAGUAGUAUGAAGUAUCCAAACCAAAGUCAGGGAGUGUGUUUGUCUCUUGCUUGUCUUUGCUGUGAGUUCAUGGUUGCCGGUUGAUGGUUUGUCUUCCUUUUUUUGUGCAUCAUAAGCACUUUAAGCUCCAACACUGCAAAAAGUCAAUUCUUUUCUUCAAAUGGAGUAUUCAGCCAACCGGGACAUUAUCGCGUGAUAUGAGGAAUAGAGGAGUCAACAAGAGUGGCUGGCUGGACAGCUUAGUGGAUCACACCACGGCCUUUGGACCAGGAGUCUGGGGUUCAAAGCCUGGGCCGCAUAAGUGGGAAUAUCUACUAACAACAUAUGGAGCUUUUUGUGGUAGAUUAGUCAGGAAUUGUAAAAGAUAUAGACGCACGGAGAAAAGGCUUGGUGUGGCUGGCUGGGUGGCUCCGAGGUUUCACCAGUGGCAUUGGAGCGGGAGAUGGUGGUUCAAAUCCUCGCUGGAGCAAUGGAAAAAUCCCAAAUGGCCAUGAUUUUGGAGUGGGAUGGAGACGCACGGCUUAGUGUGGAUGGAUGGGUGGCUCCGAGAUAACACCAGCAGUGGUGGAGGCAAGAGGAGGUGCAGGUGAGGGCGGAGCCAGAUGGCUUGCCAGGUGGUUGGUGGGCGGAGCUAGAGUGCAAGGAAGGUGGUUGGCAGGGGGAGGACUGGCCAGGCACUUUGCAGGAGGAGUUCAUACUCCAAAGCACAACAUAUUCACUUACAAUGAAAUAUUUUUUUUUUCACAAAAAUGAAAAUAUAAAAAAUGGUGUUAAAAAAUGAAAAAACACCAAACAUGAAAAAAUAAAAAUGAAACCAACCAAAAAUGACAAAAAUGACAAAAAAAAUGACAAAAAAUGACAAAUGAAACCAACAAAA